GACGAACGCUGGCGGCGUGCUUAACACAUGCAAGUCGAACGGAAAGGCCCUGCUUUUGUGGGGUGCUCGAGUGGCGAACGGGUGAGUAACACGUGAGUAACCCGCCCUUGACUUUGGGAUAACUUCAGGAAACUGGGGCUAAUACCAGAUAGGAGCUCCUGCUGCAUGGUGGGGGUUGGAAAGUUUCGGCGGUUGGGGAUGGACUCGCGGCUUAUCAGCUUGUUGGUGGGGUAGUGGCUUACCAAGGCUUUGACGGGUAGCCGGCCUGAGAGGGUGACCGGCCACAUUGGGACUGAGAUACGGCCCAGACUCCUACGGGAGGCAGCAGUGGGGAAUAUUGCACAAUGGGCGGAAGCCUGAUGCAGCAACGCCGCGUGCGGGAUGACGGCCUUCGGGUUGUAAACCGCUUUCGCCUGUGACGAAGCGUGAGUGACGGUAAUGGGUAAAGAAGCACCGGCUAACUACGUGCCAGCAGCCGCGGUGAUACGUAGGGUGCGAGCGUUGUCCGGAUUUAUUGGGCGUAAAGGGCUCGUAGGUGGUUGAUCGCGUCGGAAGUGUAAUCUUGGGGCUUAACCCUGAGCGUGCUUUCGAUACGGGUUGACUUGAGGAAGGUAGGGGAGAAUGGAAUUCCUGGUGGAGCGGUGGAAUGCGCAGAUAUCAGGAGGAACACCAGUGGCGAAGGCGGUUCUCUGGGCCUUUCCUGACGCUGAGGAGCGAAAGCGUGGGGAGCGAACAGGCUUAGAUACCCUGGUAGUCCACGCUGUAAACGGUGGGUACUAGGUGUGGGGUCCAUUCCACGGGUUCCGUGCCGUAGCUAACGCUUUAAGUACCCCGCCUGGGGAGUACGGCCGCAAGGCUAAAACUCAAAGGAAUUGACGGGGCCCCGCACAAGCGGCGGAGCAUGCGGAUUAAUUCGAUGCAACGCGUAGAACCUUACCUGGGUUUGACAUGGAUCGGGAGUGCUCAGAGAUGGGUGUGCCUCUUUUGGGGUCGGUUCACAGGUGGUGCAUGGCUGUCGUCAGCUCGUGUCGUGAGAUGUUGGGUUAAGUCCCGCAACGAGCGCAACCCUUGUUCACUGUUGCCAGCACGUUAUGGUGGGGACUCAGUGGAGACCGCCGGGGUCAACUCGGAGGAAGGUGGGGAUGACGUCAAGUCAUCAUGCCCCUUAUGUCCAGGGCUUCACGCAUGCUACAAUGGCUGGUACAGAGAGUGGCGAGCCUGUGAGGGUGAGCGAAUCUCGGAAAGCCGGUCUCAGUUCGGAUUGGGGUCUGCAACUCGACCUCAUGAAGUCGGAGUCGCUAGUAAUCGCAGAUCAGCAACGCUGCGGUGAAUACGUUCCCGGG
rnacentral:rRNA from 1 species